rnacentral:lncRNA from 1 species
AUGGAAGCUACUGCCAGUCCAACGUUGACCAAUGGGGGAAGGACUGGCGUCUGGUCUAAGGAGAUGGAAACCACCUACAGGUCAUGUUUAAGGAUCAGGCAUGGUACCAGUAGAGGCCGGCUUACAUUCCGUUACCUGCGGAUGUUGGCAUCACUUGGGCUCCGAGUUCCCCGGAAAUCAUCCUCCCACCCCGACGACUGAGUUUAGGACAUAUAUGCGUCUGCACUGUGAGGGGAACGCGCAUCAGUAAGAUAUUGGUGUUAGAGUUGGUCAAUCUGACUUACUGCUGGAAUUAAACGCACAAGAGAGCCAGGGCUUUCCUCUUGUGCUGUGUACUCUGGUUACAUAGAAAGUUAACCGAGACAAAAUUAUGUGAACAUUUAAGAGCUUUCUUUAUGUGAUAGACUUUGAAGGACUAAAUGAUUGGAAGGCAUCCCAGCACAACCAUUUAAAGGUAGAGUCAUCUUGCUCAGUCCCUCUGCCUGUGACUAGCAUUCUCCUGCAUGACAGUGAUGAACUUCUCCCGGAACUAGUUCUGUAGGAAAGAUGGUAAUGUAAAGCCAGAGGAUAUUCUCAUGUGUUCCUGGAUUCACUACGGACUUCUAGACCUCCGGGCCUGCAACGAUUCCUGAAGAUUUUCUCUGAUCUGUACAGUGAUCUGCUAGACCUGUUUGAGAUCACUAACAUAAAAGACUGUCUGGAGCUGGAGAGAUGGUUCAGAGGUUAAGAGCACUGGCUACUCUUCCAGAGGCCCUGAGUUCAAAUCCCAGCAAACACAUGGUGGCUCACAACCAUCUGUAAUGAG